rnacentral:tRNA from 2 species
GCGCCCGUAGCUCAGCUGGAUAGAGCGUCUGGCUACGAACCAGAAGGUCGGGAGUUCGAAUCUCUCCGGGCGCGCCA